AACAUUCAACCAACAAGACUCCUGACUAAUAACAAGGUACCAGCUGUAUCUAGGAAGAAGUACAACAACAGAUGUGAAAAGACGCUUCAGAAAUAUUUAUUCUUUCAUUAGUGCUGCCUUCAACACUAGCCGGAAAAGCAUCUCUGCAGUGACUCACAACAUAAGUGUCUACUGAGUGCUCGGCCCUAAAUGGGGUAUCUGGAAGAAUCCCCAGCCCAUAGGUUCAGAGAACAUCACAGAAAAGGACAGAAACAUGUAAAAACCAUAGGAUGAGGAAAUACCAUGAAAUGCUGUCUUCAGGCCAUGACGGCCACUGAACUCUGAAGUCUGUAGAACUGCUAUUGCACAAGAACAAAGUUAACAAAAUCUGGCUUGGCAUUUCAACAGGCACCAGUGACAGGACAACAACAACAAAAAAAAAAAUCAGGGAGGUGUGUGUGCGCUGGGGAUGCUUGGGGGAAGGGAGAAGGAAGAGCUGGGGGACUAUGAUCAAGCAUGGUUGGCACGCAUGAAAUUGGACAAGAAUAAAUGAUUUGCGUUCUUUUUAGUGGCA